GUGUUUGCUUCGGCAGCAUAUGUACUACAAUUGGAACGAUACAGAGAAGAUUAGCAUGGCCCCUGCACAAGGAUGACACGCAAAUUCUUGAAGCGUUCAUAUUUUUA